rnacentral:pre_miRNA from 1 species
UGGACAGAUUAUUGUAUUCGACUGUAUUCAUGGCGUGAAACAGGGGAUUACACUGUUUUUAAACGGAAAUUGAAUCAAUUAACAUAAUAGACUCCU